UCUCCAAAAAUUAGUCCCAGUUCAGAUUGCAGGCUGCAACUCGCCUGCAUGAAGUCGGAAUUGCUAGUAAUCGUGGAUCAGCAUGCCACGGUGAAUACGUUCCCGGGCCUUGUACACACCGCCCGUCACACCAUGGGAGUCGGUAACACCCGAAGCCUGUAGUCUAACCGCAAGGAGGACGCAGUCGAAGGUGGGAUUGAUGACUGGGGUGAAGUCGUAACAAGGUAAC
rnacentral:rRNA from 1 species